CACUCCUCCAGUGGAUCCUUCUCAGCCGAGCCUUACUCUCGAUUAGUUGGAAUUGGCCGAGCAGUGCUUUACACAGGGUCUCCUUGCUGCCACAUUUGAGAGAUCAGCGGCUCUAUUGUGGAUCCAAGCAUCACUGGUUGGGGAUGAUCCCCAGCUUCGGCACCAAGUUCCAACAACAAGAUCUAUGGUUGUGAGUUGGCAGGAAGAUAUUUAGAUUUAGGUUGUAAGGGGAAUUGCUGAUUAGGGUACUUGUGUGGAGGAUUGCGGCUCUACCUAGCUCCGACCAACAUUUCCAGCGUCAACAGUGGCUUGGUAGUGAGGACUUUGACGCGAGACGAGCAUCUCGACGUCGUAUUCGGACCAGAUUGGAC